rnacentral:rRNA from 1 species
GGCGGCGUGCUUAACACAUGCAAGUCGAGCGAAGCACUUUUGCGGAUUUCUUCGGAUUGAAGCAACUGUGACUGAGCGGCGGACGGGUGAGUAACGCGUGGGUAACCUGCCUCAUACAGAGGGAUAACAGUUGGAAACGGCUGCUAAUACCGCAUAAGCGCACAGUACCGCAUGGUACGGUGUGAAAAACUCCGGUGGUAUGAGAUGGACCCGCGUCUGAUUAGGUAGUUGGUGGGGUAACGGCCUACCAAGCCGACGAUCAGUAGCCGACCUGAGAGGGUGACCGGCCACAUUGGGACUGAGACACGGCCCAAACUCCUACGGGAGGCAGCAGUGGGGAAUAUUGCACAAUGGGGGAAACCCUGAUGCAGCGACGCCGCGUGAGCGAUGAAGUAUUUCGGUAUGUAAAGCUCUAUCAGCAGGGAAGAAAAUGACGGUACCUGACUAAGAAGCCCCGGCUAACUACGUGCCAGCAGCCGCGGUAAUACGUAGGGGGCAAGCGUUAUCCGGAUUUACUGGGUGUAAAGGGAGCGUAGACGGCAUGGCAAGCCAGAUGUGAAAGCCCGGGGCUCAACCCCGGGACUGCAUUUGGAACUGUCAGGCUAGAGUGUCGGAGAGGAAAGCGGAAUUCCUAGUGUAGCGGUGAAAUGCGUAGAUAUUAGGAGGAACACCAGUGGCG